rnacentral:rRNA from 1 species
AGAGUUUGAUCAUGGCUCAGGACGAACGCUGGCGGCGUGCCUAAUACAUGCAAGUCGAGCGAGCUUGCCUAGAUGAUUUUAGUGCUUGCACUAAAUGAAACUAGAUACAAGCGAGCGGCGGACGGGUGAGUAACACGUGGGUAACCUGCCCAAGAGACUGGGAUAACACCUGGAAACAGAUGCUAAUACCGGAUAACAACACUAGACGCAUGUCUAGAGUUUGAAAGAUGGUUCUGCUAUCACUCUUGGAUGGACCUGCGGUGCAUUAGCUAGUUGGUAAGGUAACGGCUUACCAAGGCAAUGAUGCAUAGCCGAGUUGAGAGACUGAUCGGCCACAUUGGGACUGAGACACGGCCCAAACUCCUACGGGAGGCAGCAGUAGGGAAUCUUCCACAAUGGACGAAAGUCUGAUGGAGCAACGCCGCGUGAGUGAAGAAGGGUUUCGGCUCGUAAAGCUCUGUUGGUAGUGAAGAAAGAUAGAGGUAGUGACUGGCCUUUAUUUGACGGUAAUUACUUAGAAAGUCACGGCUAACUACGUGCCAGCAGCCGCGGUAAUACGUAGGUGGCAAGCGUUGUCCGGAUUUAUUGGGCGUAAAGCGAGUGCAGGCGGUUCAAUAAGUCUGAUGUGAAAGCCUUCGGCUCAACCGGAGAAUUGCAUCAGAAACUGUUGAACUUGAGUGCAGAAGAGGAGAGUGGAACUCCAUGUGUAGCGGUGGAAUGCGUAGAUAUAUGGAAGAACACCAGUGGCGAAGGCGGCUCUCUGGUCUGCAACUGACGCUGAGGCUCGAAAGCAUGGGUAGCGAACAGGAUUAGAUACCCUGGUAGUCCAUGCCGUAAACGAUGAGUGCUAAGUGUUGGGAGGUUUCCGCCUCUCAGUGCUGCAGCU